AGCGAACGCUGGCGGCAGGCCUAACACAUGCAAGUCGAACGAACCCUUCGGGGUUAGUGGCGGACGGGUGAGUAACACGUGGGAACGUGCCUUUAGGUUCGGAAUAACUCAGGGAAACUUGUUCUAAUACCGAAUGUGCCCUUCGGGGGAAAGAUUUAUCGCAUUUAGAGCGGCCCGCGUCUGAUUAGCUAGUUGGUGAGGUAAUGGCUCACCAAGGCUACGAUCAGUAGCUGGUCUGAGAGGAUGACCAGCCACAUUGGGACUGAGACACGGCCCAAACUCCUACGGGAGGCAGCAGUGGGGAAUCUUGCGCAAUGGGCGAAAGCCUGACGCAGCCAUGCCGCGUGGAUGAUGAAGGUCUUAGGAUUGUAAAAUCCUUUCACCGGUGAAGAUAAUGACUGUAGCCGGAGAAGAAGCCCCGGCUAACUUCGUGCCAGCCGCCGCAGUAAUAC
rnacentral:rRNA from 1 species